AUUGAACGCUGGCGGCAGGCCUAACACAUGCAAGUCGAGCGGAUGAAGGGAGCUUGCUCCUGGAUUCAGCGGCGGACGGGUGAGUAAUGCCUAGGAAUCUGCCUGGUAGUGGGGGAUAACGUCCGGAAACGGGCGCUAAUACCGCAUACGUCCUGAGGGAGAAAGUGGGGGAUCUUCGGACCUCACGCUAUCAGAUGAGCCUAGGUCGGAUUAGCUAGUUGGUGGGGUAAAGGCCUACCAAGGCGAGGAUCCGUAACUGGUCUGAGAGGAUGGUCAGUCACACUGGAACUGAGACACGGUCCAGACUCCUACGGGAGGCAGCAGUGGGGAAUAUUGGACAAUGGGCGAAAGCCUGAUCCAGCCAUGCCGCGUGUGUGAAGAAGGUCUUCGGAUUGUAAAGCACUUUAAGUUGGGAGGAAGGGCAGUAAGUUAAUACCUUGCUGUUUUGACGUUACCAACAGAAUAAGCACCGGCUAACUUCGUG
rnacentral:rRNA from 1 species